rnacentral:rRNA from 1 species
CAAUAGCGUAUAUUUAAGUUGUUGCAGUUAAAAAGCUCGUAGUUGGACCUUGGACCUGGACAGGCGGUCCGCCUCACGGCGAGUACUGUCUUGCUGGUCUUUCCUCUUGGUGAUCUGUUGUUUCGGCAGCAGGGAACCAGGACCUUUACUUUGAAAAAAUUAGAGUGUUCAAAGCAGGCUCGACGCCGGAAUAUAUUAGCAUGGAAUAAUAAAAUAGGACGUGCGGUUCUAUUUUGUUGGUUUUUGGAAUCGCCGUAAUGAUUAAUAGGGACAGUCGGGGGCAUUAGUACUCACAUGCUAGAGGUGAAAUUCUUGGAUUUUGUGAAGACUAACUUCUGCGAAAGCAUUUGCCAAGGAUGUUUUCAUUAA